UGAAACUGAACCUGCGCGCAUUAUAAAUC
rnacentral:sRNA from 1 species